UAUUCCCCACUGCUGCCUCCCGUAGGAGUUUGGACCGUCUCUCAGUUCCAAUGUGGCCGAUCACCCUCUCAGGUCGGCUACCGAUCGUCGACUUGGUGGGCCGUUACCUCACCAACUAUCUAAUCGGACGCGAACUCACCCCAAACCGGAUCGCUCCUUUUACCCCUGUACCAUGCGAUGCCGUGGUCUUAUGCGGUAUUAGCACCUGUUUCCAAGUGUUAUCCCCCUGUCUGGGACAGAUUGUUCACGCGUUACUCACCCGUCCGCCGCUGGAAUAUACCAAAAUCCUGCCGAAGCUCUCAUUCAGCUUAUCCCCGCUCGACUUGCAUGUGUUAAGCACGCCGCCAGCGUUCAUCCUGAGCCAA
rnacentral:rRNA from 1 species